GAAAAAAUGUGUGAUGUGCCUGAAUUUACCUGGGCCAGUGCAAUGAAAGGAAAUGCUGCAUUCUCUGUAGAGCUGCCUGUAUCUUAGGACAAGGCCCUUUUACCCCUAAGAGGAAAUUCGGAGAUAAGUACAUUUAUCAGUGUUAUUGUCACCUUCUCUGUAGGUGCAGAGAUCCCACGUGUUUUAAGGUAGCAUCUGACUUCCUCCAUCCUCCAUACAUACAGAAAUGUUGAGAGAUGCACAGUCUUGGCACACCCUGUGAAGUGUUUGAUGGGUAUCACUUGCUGGUUGCUGCCUCUGCAAGAAGACACAAGAACAAGGGUGAAUAUUGGUAUAAUCUCAAAGAGGGCACGUUAGAUUUAAAGAAGCCUGUCUGCGUCCAGAUGUGAAGAGGUCCCUGAAUGAAUGCCCAGCUCACAACAGAGAAUAGUACUGCAUGGUGAACAGAACGCACGUGGUAGGGGAAGGAGCACACAGUGCUUUGCAGCCUGGGUGAACUAUUUUAAUCUGAGCUCCUGGCAUCUGAACCUAGACUGCAACAGGUAGUGCAAAUUCAGCUCCACUGCCUUUGCACAAUAAUGGCAUAGAGUAAGUGUUAUCCAUUGCUGACCCUGUGUUGAAAAAAUAACUCCAGAUGCACUCCAUAUACCCAGACAUCUCUUGUACAAAAGCCUACUUACUUGCACUGUGUAUAACAAAAUAGGGUUUGGUGUCCAAUACUGUUUUUAAAAUGUAAAAAAGCAAACAAAUACAAAUGCAUACAAAAUAAGUUUGACAUAGUCAAAAUUAAAUACCUACUGAAAAGGCAUCUCAUAUUUUUCAGUGCAAUUUGGAAGUGGUGGUUUUGGAAGGUAGCUGCUUCUGUGCACCUUUAAAAUUAUUUGCCUUUUCCUUAGCUGUGUAUUAUAGUGGUUAGUUCCUGUUUGAAAAACAUGCAGCAGGAAAGUGUAUUUUCAGUUCUGUGAUAAUCAGCUUGUGCUUGCACUCACAAACCUGGGCAAGUCUUUGAAUUGGUGCUGUAGGAAUUUAGCACUCAAAAGACAAAUGAAAAUUCUUGGUUUAAGAAAUGUUACUAUCACCACCAAAGGCAACAAAAAUCAGACCUUGCUCUUGACUUGGAAUAAGGAAAAAUAUGCAAGGCAAGAAAUACUUAAAGAUUUUGAAUAAUUGGUAAAGUCAAUUUAGAUUUUAAAAUAUGUUGGGUCUUCUGCCUAUAAAUGCAGAACCAUUUUUCCCCUCAUUUACAUCAUUACUAAGCUGGCUGAAAUAAAUGAUGUUCUCCUUUUUAGUCUGUGGUAUUG
rnacentral:lncRNA from 1 species